AAACAAUCUUUCUGCUGCUUGAUUACCGUUUGGCUGCAUGUUUUACUACCUGCAGUUUGUUAUCUGCAAAAUGUUUCUCUCUCAGUUGUCUUUAGGAGCAGCAUAUAGUUGUCAUGAGCCUAGAGCGCCCUCUCACGGCUGGAGACGGUAAUGUUUUCAGUAUGAAUUAAUAUUUAAAAACAUGUU